rnacentral:tRNA from 1 species
GUAAAAGUAGUUUAAGAAGAAUGAAAAUUUGUCAUAUUUUUGGUGCUAGUGGGUCUUUUAUU